UAUAACCCUUCAUUUACGCUGAGCAUACUGCUUGGUGUUGCUACAGAGAUCUUCAAUCUUUGGUUCCAUAUGCUACAACAAACUAAAAAAAGUGAAGCUCGGGCUAAUUCUAAAAGGGAGCAUGAGAAGAAGGUUUGCUGCUUGGGCUUGACAUCAUUGCUCAGUCUUCCUGCUGAUCAAAUGCAAGCAGCACAACCUUAGAGGGCAUUUUUAUGGCCAUUCUUGACCUCCUUGUAUGCACAACGAGCAACUUGCUGAAGCUGCAAAGGCAGAGGAAGCUAAAUAUGAAGUUGAGAUGGAUGGAUUUCAAAGUGAUGAUGACGACGAUGAGUCUGAUAUAGAAAUGGCAGAUGAUGAUGAGGAUGGAGAUGAAGCUAUGAUCCGAGGAUAAGCAGAAAGAUUUAUGUUCGAGAACGAGCAGCCCCAUUUAUUUCAAUGGCAGAAAUGAUGAGGAUGUUUGAAUCUAGUACAAGUCAGAUGUCAAUGCCACACGUGAAUUGUUCCAUGUCACAUUGGCUAUGUCGACCAACGGCUAUUGAAAAUAUCAGUUGCAUCCUUGCUGGAGGCUUCGUCUCUUCUCUCUAUGGAUCUUGGUAUUCACUGAUUUAGUUUUGAGAGUUUACGGAAGGGUGGGUUGGCCCUACCUUUUCUUCCCCAGCUUCAAACAACAUUUGAUAAGUGUUUGCAGGAUAAUACAAGGACUGUUCGAUCAAGUGCUGCUCUUGCCCUUGGUAAACAUAGUGCACUCACAUCUAGGAUUGAUCCUUUGGUGUUGGUGAUCUUUUAUCUGCUUUGCCACUUUACAGUAUUCAGAUGUUGGAAUUCGUGAUGCUAUUUUGACUGCUUUGAAAGGAGUGAUUAAACAUGCUGGCAAAAGUGUG